rnacentral:tRNA from 1 species
CUAGGAUCCUAAUUUAGACUAUUGUUGG